UACAGAGGUCCCAAGCGUUGUUCGGAUUCACUGGGCGUAAAGAGCUCGUAGGCGGUUUGUCGCGUCUGCUGUGAAAACUCGGGGCUUAACCCCGGGCCUGCAGUGGGUACGGGCAGACUAGAGUGCGGUAGGGGAGACUGGAAUUCCUGGUGUAGCGGUGAAAUGCGCAGAUAUCAGGAGGAACACCGGUGGCGAAGGCGGGUCUCUGGGCCGUAACUGACGCUGAGGAGCGAAAGCGUGGGGAGCGAACAGG
rnacentral:rRNA from 1 species